rnacentral:rRNA from 1 species
GACGAACGCUGACGGCGUGCUUAACACAUGCAAGUCGAAGGGAGUGGCGAACGGGUGAGUAACACGUGAGUAACCUGUCCUUUUCUUUGGGAUAAGCCUGGGAAACUGGGUCUCAUACUGGAUGGAUUGGGAUGGGCUCGCGGCUUGUUAGCUUGUUGGUGGGGGUCUAGCUUACCAAGGCUUUGACGGGUAGCCGGCCUGAGAGGGUGGUCGGUCGCGCUGAGGCUGGGGUACGGCCCAGAGUCCGACGUGGGGCAGCAGUGGCGGAUAGUGGACCAUGGACGAAAGUCGGAUGCAGCGACGUCGUGUGUGGGUUGAGGGCCUUCGGGUUGUAAACACCUUUCACCCGCGGAAUGGUAGUGGGUAAAUAAGCGCCGGCUAACUACGUGCCAGCAGCCGCGGUAAUUC